rnacentral:rRNA from 1 species
ACGUACACUCCUACGGGAGGCAGCAGUAGGGAAUCUUCCACAAUGGGUGCAAACCUGAUGGAGCAAUGCCGCGUGAGUGAAGAAGGUCUUCGGAUCGUAAAGCUCUGUUGUUAGAGAAGAACACGUGCUAGGUAACUACUAGCGCCUUGACGGUAUCUAACCAGAAAGUCACGGCUAACUACGUGCCAGCAGCCGCGGUAAUACGUAGGUGACAAGCGUUGUCCGGAUUUAUUGGGCGUAAAGGGAGCGCAGGCGGUCUGUUUAGUCUAAUGUGAAAGCCCACGGCUUAACCGUGGAACGGCAUUGGAAACUGACAGACUUGAAUGUAGAAGAGGAAAAUGGAAUUCCAAGUGUAGCGGUGGAAUGCGUAGAUAUUUGGAGGAACACCAGUGGCGAAGGCGAUUUUCUGGUCUAACAUUGACGCUGAGGCUCGAAAGCGUGGGGAGCGAACAGGAUUAGAAACCCCGGUAGUCCCA